rnacentral:rRNA from 1 species
GGAUGAGCCCGCGGCCUAUCAGCUUGUUGGUGGGGUAAUGGCCUACCAAGGCGUCGACGGGUAGCCGGCCUGAGAGGGUGGACGGCCACAUUGGGACUGAGACACGGCCCAGACUCCUACGGGAGGCAGCAGUGGGGAAUAUUGCACAAUGGGCGCAAGCCUGAUGCAGCGACGCCGCGUGGGGGAUGACGGCCUUCGGGUUGUAAACUCCUUUCAACCAUGACGAAGCUUUCGGGUGACGGUAGUGGUAGAAGAAGCACCGGCUAACUACGUGCCAGCAGCCGCGGCCGAGCC